GGACAGAAAGGAGGACAGGAGGACAGGCAGGAGGCCAGACAGGACAGACAGGAGGACAGAUAGGAGGACAGACAGGAGGACAGGCAGGUGGACAGACAGGACAGACAGGAGGACAGAUAGGAGGACAGACAGGAGGACAGGCAGGUGGACAGACAGGACAGACAGGAGGACAGGCAGGUGGACAGACAGGACAGACAGGAGGACAGACAGGUGGACAGUUUAAUCCCUCUCUCUCUACGUCUCCAUGAAUGUCCUUGUGUGCUCUCCUACCUCCUUGGCUCCUUUCCUUCCCUUCACA